AAAAGGGCAAAUCUCCAAAAUAGCACAUUUCUAAGUUUAUAUCACAAAAAUAGCACUCAAAAACUAAAAUGACCAAAAUAGCACCUUUCUAAGUUUAUACUUUGAAAAUUUUAAUUAUUUUAUUUUUCAAAAUUUGAAAUCUUAUCCCCAAAAUCUCAUUUCUCAACUCUAAACCCUAAACCCUAAACUCUAAACCCUAAACCCUAAACCAUAAACCCUAAACCCUAAACUCUAAACCCUAAACCCUAAAAUCUAAACCCUAAACCCUAAACUUUAAACCCUAAACCCUAAAUCCUCAACCUCAUCCUUUAACUCUAAACCUUAAGUUUGUGACUUUUGAUAAAACAUUAAGUGCUAUUUUUGUGACUUUUGACCUUGAGUGCUAGUUUGGAAACAAAAACUUGAUUUAUUGCUAUUUUUAUCUUUUUCUUUUUGGAAAAAUACUAAAAACUUCCAGUUCAAAAUCUACCAUCUCAGAUUUUAUUCACUUGUAUAGUUAACUGAUGUAGAUAUUUAAUUUUCAUUGCGAACAGCCAAAUCUAUAUGGCGUCGAUAAACAUGUUUCUUAGUCGGUCGGAUCUUGACCUUGCCAAAGACCUCAAAGUUAUUAAAAACUAUUGCAUGUUGAUAUAUUUUACUAUUAAAUUAAUAGAACAUUCAUCUGGUAAGUUAAACGAAAAGGUAAAUAGUAACGAGCCUAUUUGGUUUAAAAUAAGUUUAAGACCCAAACAUAAAUAGCUUUUAUUAAAGGCCUGCCAUCACUUUAUUUGUUUUCUUUUGUUUGUGACCCAUCAGUCAUACUGUUGGUCAAAUAAACGGAAUCCGGAAAUCCGAUCCGAUAAAAAUAAAUUUGAACCGAUCCGAAUCCGACAUAAAUAUCAAAUAUAUUUUUUAUGAUAUUUCGGGUUAUUGGUAUUAUCCAAUUCUAACCCGAAACUAAAUGGUUAUCCGAUAAAACCCGAAAUAUUCAAAAUCUCAAAAAAAACUUGUACCAAACAAGAUCUUAAUUUAAUAUUUAUCCAAAUACACUAAGAUAUUAUUGAACAUCUAAAAUAAUUAUCUAAUACAUGAAGGUUGAUAGUUGAAGGUGGCGGUUGAAACUUGAAGUUUUUAUAUUUUGAUUUUGUUUUUAUUGAAUAACUAGAUUUUGACUCGCGCUUUGAAAACGCGGGAUUAUCUCUUUCUUAAAUAUAUUAUUUUAUAACAUAUUAUAUUUAUAAUAUUUAUAUUUUUAUAAUUGUUUUUUAUAUGUGUAGUAGUUAUUUAUAUAUUUAGGAUGAUAUGUAUUGAGAUAUAAAUAUAAUAAUAUAUAUAAUGACUCGUAUUUUAAAAGCACGGGAUUUGUUUCUUUUGAAAAUUAAAUAUUUGUUAAUUGUAACCUUAUGUGUUAUUUGAUAACUAUUUUUUUUAAUAGUGUUGAUGUUUUAUAGUCAUACAAAGUAAUUCGAAUAGUUAUUUUUUUUAAAAAAGAGUUCCUUGUAUUAAUAUUUUUAGUUUAUUGUAAACUAUUAAAUCCCAAAUAUCCUUUUCGUAGCAUAUUUUAAAAGGUGAUUAAAAGAAAUACAAACAAAAACUUGAAUCCAUUUUUAUGUUUUUCUAUUUUUAAAAUGGGGUUUCCAAUUUUUUUUGUCAAUAAAGAUCAAGUAUUUAAAUGAGCUUCGGUCUAUAAAUUCGUGAAACCCACCCACAAGUAAUCCAACUUAUUCGACGGUCUUAAAAAAAAAGAAAUGGAAAGUAAUAAUAAAAGAUUAUAUUCAGAUUUUUGGCAUGACUAAAUUGCUAAUACAAUGUAAAUAACAUUUAUGUCAUAAAUCGAUUUUAGUAUAGAUCUUUGAAGUAUACGUAAAAAUGAUUAUAAUCUUAUUGGGUUUCUAAUAAAGCCGAAAAGAGCUUGAAAAUCCCAGAUUUUUUUACUGCCGUAAUGGGCUCGUAAAUUCGUUUUUAAAUACUUGUUUCAGACUGGUGCAAUUAAUAUGGCCGAAAACCAUUUAAAUUUUUCAGAAAGAUAAUAGCAAUUUUUGUAAUUAAUUGAAAAAUCAUGGGCAUAAUCCUAAGAAAGAUUCUGCUUUAAUAGUAUAGAUGUUUCUCAUUUCAUGAAAACUUGGUUUUGUUUUUUGUUUUCAUUUAUUUGAUUUUCUUUCUAUCAAUAACUAGGUUUACCUUUCAUUUGAUUUUGAAUGAUCAUGUUUGAUGUUCAUUUCUUAAUUUUUAAUCGAUGUUACUUAUGUUUUGGUUACAAAAUAGGUACAAAUAAGGUAUUUUAAAACCGAAUAACCAAUUUUACUUAUGUUUUGGUUACACAGUAGGUACAAAUCAUGUAAUUUUAAACCGAAUAAUCGACUGAGACCCAAACCCGAAAUUACAUCGGGUUGUACCGGUUCUUUGAAGAUUUACUAACCCCGAUCUGAACUUGAUAGAACUCGAACUAGUCUCGAACCGAAGUUUCAUAUAACCUUAAUGGAGCUGAAUUUGAUAAACCCAAAAAACCGAGACCCGAUUGGACAAAACCGAAAUCCGAUUGAGACCCCAAAUGCCAAGGCCUAGUCAGUAUAUUCUUUGAGUUAGGUUAUUCUAAUUGCCUUUUUAAUAAGUUAUUCUAAUUGCCUAACUGCUUAUUCAUAUUUUCUUCUCUGUUAGAAAUUAUAAAUUGCUUAUAUUAAUAAUAUUUCCUUGCUUAACAGCUUAUGAUAUUUCCUUGGUUACAUGAAACAUGUUCAUCCUCAUAGUGGCUCUAAGACUUGAAAUAUUUACCAUACGAGUGUUCAUGCAGCUUACUAGGAGAUGCUUGAUGAGGGAAGAAUAUCUAAAAAUACUACUAAUAUUUUGAUGCGGUCCGUAAGAGGAUAAGGUGUUGGAUCGGGUUUCUACGGAGUCUUAUGUGACUGGACUGGUCUACAACUGCAUGUUAUAUUCUUGAGUUGGGCAUGUUUGCAUCCGUGUGGUUUGUUGGGUGUCGACGAAAAUUGAUGUUGGUUCUGUAUUAAAAUGAACAUCAUCCAAAUGAAUUUAAAAUUUUAGUCUAAAAUGAGAUGCAUUUGGGUGAUUUAUUAAAAUGAGUUUAAUUGGUGUAUCUAGAUGGAGAUAAACAUAUUCAAAAUAAUAAAUGCAAAUUUAACUCAUUUCUAAAUAAAAGAUUUAAAUACAAAUUUUAAACAAACAAAUAAUCAUGAUAUAAAUCACUAUUUUCCGUUAGAACCAUAAAAUCAAACUUUCGGACCAAAAAUACAAGUUCAUAUUUUUUCAUCAAAAUCAUAUUUUCCACUAAAACUGUAAAAUUGUAUUUUGACCAAAAACUACAAAACCAUAUUUUCACCAAAACCACAAACUACAUGUUUCUUACAAAACCGCAAAAUCGUAUUCUCCCGCCAAAACUGAAAAACGAUUUUUCUGUCAAAAUCACAAAAUUACAUUUUUUUCGUCUAAACCGUAAAAUUAUAUUUUCCGCCAAAACCAUUAGCAACUAAAAAAAACUUGAAAACAGAGCAACAAAUAAAAUACAUACAUAUAUCGUUUCUUGGUUAGGGUAAUACAAGUUGAAAAAAAUAAAAAAAUAAAAACUUGAAAACAGAGCAACAAAUAAACAUAUAUCGUUUCUUGGUUAGAGUAAUACAAGUUGAAAAAAUGGACAAGGCGAUCCACAAGUCUUAUCUUUACGUCGUCAACAAGCAGAGAAAUCGCUAUCGAAAAAGAUCAGAUUGUCGUUGUACUUUGCUUAUUAUAUUAGUUCGCUUAUUAUAUUAUCCGUUUUAUUUAAUUUUUCUCACAAUAAAUUAAAAAAAAAAGUCGUUGGGAAAAUUAAAAUAGAAAACAAUCACGUCACGUCACGUCUUCCAAAUAAAUAAAGAGUAAAGAUGGAAUCUUAAAUCGAAGCGAGAAGGAUGGGCUCCAUUGAAGAAGAAUCACCUCUCAUCGAAGAAGGUUUAAUCUCACAGGUUUGAUCAUCACUUUCGCUCUCAGGGGUUGUUUCUAAUCGCUUGAAUUUAGGUUGUCUGGAUUGUGAUUUUUUCGCUCUCUCUCAGGGUUUUAAUUUCUCCAAAAUCUUGACUUGAGAUUGAGUUUGGUGAUCUUAUGCAUGUUUCUUUCUGGGUUUGUUGAGAGAUUUUCUGGGUAAUUACUGUUUAUCAUCUUCCAUGUAUCUGUUUUUGAAUCUCUGAUAACCCUUGAGGUUGAUUAUGAUGAUGAUUCAGAUGUUUGAACUUUGCAAGUACAGAUCAGAUUAUAUUUGAGCUAAAGCUAUUUUGAAGCUUGAUUCCAUUAACACAGUAUUAUUGUUUACUGCAAUGGUCUUUAGCUAAAAGAUGUAAUCUUGAAUUUUAUAUAACCAGGAACCAAAACUGUAUGCUCAAGAUGGUUCAGUGGACCUUCAUGGAAACCCACCGUUGAAGGAGAAGACAGGCAACUGGAAAGCUUGUCCUUUCAUUUUAGGUACAUUUUUGUUUCAUUUCAAUUCUUACAAAACUUAUCCUUCUUUGUGUCUAACCUUUUGAAAAUGAUAUUUUUUUAAUGUGUAGGCAAUGAAUGCUGCGAGAGGCUAGCUUACUAUGGUAUCGCUGGGAAUCUGAUCACUUACCUCACCACUAAACUCCACCAAGGAAACGUUUCAGCUGCUAGAAACGUCACCACAUGGCAGGGGACUUGUUAUCUCACCCCUCUCAUUGGUGCUGUCUUGGCCGAUGCUUACUGGGGCAGAUACUGGACCAUCGCUUGUUUCUCCGGCAUUUACUUCAUCGUAAGCACCUUUUGAUUGGUUUAGUUGGUUGUCUCUUAUCACCCAAUUGAUUUGAAGUUUGAGUUUUGGUUUUCUUUGCUCUGUUUUUUGUAUAGGGCAUGUCUGCGCUAACUCUCUCAGCGUCAGUUCCAGCAUUGAAACCAGCUGAAUGCAUUGGCGGUUUCUGUCCAUCAGCAACACCAGCUCAGUACGCAAUGUUCUUUGGCGGGCUUUACCUCAUCGCCCUCGGCACUGGAGGCAUCAAACCAUGCGUCUCAUCCUUCGGUGCAGACCAGUUCGAUGACACGGACUCGCGCGAACGAGUUAAGAAAGCUUCCUUCUUCAACUGGUUCUACUUCUCCAUCAACAUUGGAGCGCUAGUCUCUUCUAGUCUUCUUGUCUGGAUCCAAGAGAACCGCGGCUGGGGUUUAGGUUUUGGUAUACCAACAGUGUUCAUGGGACUCGCCAUCGCAAGUUUCUUCUUUGGCACACCUCUUUACAGGUUUCAGAAGCCUGGAGGCAGCCCUAUCACUCGAAUCUCUCAAGUGGUGGUCGCCUCGUUCCGUAAAUCCACUCUCAAAGUCCCUGAAGACGCAAUGCUUCUGUAUGAAACGCAGGACAAGAACUCUGCUAUUGCUGGAAGUCGAAAAAUCGAACAUACCGAUGAUUGCCAGUAAGAGUUUCAUCUUCUUUAUUGGAAUGAACAAAAAAAUAAAAUAUAUAUAGCUUUGCUUUGUUUAACAUGCGGGGUCUAUACUGAUGCAGGUAUCUUGACAAAGCUGCUGUGAUCUCAGAAGAAGAAUCCAAAGCCGGAGACUUUUCCAACUCGUGGAGACUAUGUACUGUUACUCAAGUCGAAGAACUCAAGAUUCUGAUACGAAUGUUCCCUAUCUGGGCUUCAGGGAUCAUCUUCUCAGCUGUAUACGCACAAAUGUCCACGAUGUUUGUUCAACAAGGCCGAGCCAUGGACUGCAAAAUAGGAUCGUUCCAGCUUCCUCCUGCAGCGCUCGGGACGUUUGACACAGCAAGUGUCAUCAUCUGGGUUCCUCUCUACGACAGAUUCAUCGUCCCUUUAGCUAGACGGUUUACUGGAGUAGACAAAGGAUUCACUGAGAUACAAAGAAUGGGGGUCGGUUUGUUUGUCUCUGUUCUCUGUAUGGCAGCUGCAGCCGUUGUUGAAAUCAUCAGGCUCCAUUUAGCCAACGAGCUCGGGUUGGUUGAGUCUGGAGCUCCUGUUCCUAUAUCUGUGUUAUGGCAGAUCCCACAGUACUUCAUCCUCGGUGCAGCGGAAGUGUUCUACUUCAUUGGGCAGCUGGAGUUUUUCUAUGAUCAGUCUCCAGAUGCAAUGAGAAGCUUGUGCAGUGCGUUGGCUCUUUUGACCAAUGCGCUUGGGAACUACUUGAGUUCGUUGAUCCUCACGCUGGUGACUUACUUUACGACGAGGAACGGUGGAGAAGGUUGGAUAUCAGAUAAUCUGAACUCGGGUCAUCUUGAUUACUACUUCUGGCUUUUGGCUGGUCUUAGCCUUGUGAACAUGGCUGUUUACUUCUUCUCUGCGGCUAGGUAUAAGCAGAAGAAGGCGUCCAAGUUAUAAUGUGGUUGCUCUCUCUCUCCCUCCUUCCAUUACAUACAAUAAGUAUGUUUCUUUUCUUGUGUAAAUUGUGUCUGUUUAAAAGAACAACUGUUUGUGUACUCGUUUCUUUCAGUUCCAAACAGUCUCUCACAUUUGCUUUUGCAGUGUUAAAUCAAUUACAAUCUUCUAACCAAUAAGUCAAUAACUCUCUAAAUUGUGUAGUGUUAAAUUAGUAUAUGUAUACAAGAUUAUAAGUUUUUUUUUUUAUAACGCUGGAUAUUAUUGAGCCAUCACGGCAAACACUUGAAACAAAAUUUCACACCGAGGGAAGAACAAUAACCAUACCAGUAGGCAGGUGCAAACAAAUAAAGUAUAAAAUGGUUGUCUAAAAAGACAAAUUGUCUAAAAAGACAAAACACCAUAGCAAACCACUCGCUUCAGAGGUGAAGGUGAGACAGGGGUGUUCCCAUUUAAGGAGAAGGAGUAGCGUUCCUUGCUUCAUACGCAAUUAGAUCUUUCAACCAGUUAGGGCCACCAAAAGCUAUGUAGGACUGAUAUCUGCGUUCAGAGAUUACACUAUUGGCUAUUCUCUGUGCUAACACAUUCCUAGCUUCCAGAACGUGAUCCAAAGACCAAAAUUGAAACCAUUGUACCAUAUCACAGAUUUUCCCCACAAGUUCCACGGCUCCAUGGCAUGAAUUUGGGCUUAGGAAACAUGCUCUUGCGCGCUCGCAAGAGGAUUCAAAGAUGACCUGACCCUUACGCAUGGAUUUCAUGCUCUCGAUUUCCCAAAAGAUUGCUAAGAGCUCUUCUUGUUCUCUGGUCUGCACAAAGGAAUAUGAUCUCCUGCCAUGCACUAAAACUUUUCCUCUGCUAUCCCUUACGAACCAAGCGGCUCCACUCUUGCGAGAAGAUUCAGACCAGGAGGCAGCAAUGUUACAUUUUAAAAUGUCAUCAGCUGGUGCCUUCCAAGAUGGUUUGAUAGCUCGAGACGGUUGUGUAGGAGCUGUGGGGCUAGCGUCAGGGUAGUUCAGCUCAAACCAAAUGUUGGAUUCUUCCUCAGCUUUCCUCAUAAUAGUAGCAGGGUCCAUUCUUAUUUUUUCAAAAACCAGAGCAUUGCAAGCUUUCCAUAUAUGCCAAAGCACCCAGAGGAUACUCUAUCGGAGUUGAGUAUGGCAGUCUUUACUUUUGGUGCAAGCUACUAGAUGGUGCAUGUUGAGGAAAACAGAGUUUUGAGAAAGCCCUCUCUCCGGGAGAGGCAACCCUGCAUCAGACCAUGUAUCUCUAGCCGUUGGACAAUUGAAUAAGGUAUGACAUAUUGUCUCCUGUUCUGCUCCACAAGCUUUACAAGCUCGCUCUACUGGAAUGCCUCGGUAACGUAAUUGUUCCGCUACAGCCAGAGCACCUGCCAAAGCACGCCAGAUGAAAUGCCGAAUCUUUGGUGUUGUUUGCAAUUUCCAAAUAUUUUUCCAUAGACUCUUCUCAAUAGGGGGAAGUGAACCAUUCCCAGGUACUUGCAGAUUCUAUAGGGUAUCAAUAAGUUUGUAACCACUCUGUGACGAGUAAGAGCCUUCUCGAGUGAAACCCCAGCAUAGUCUAUCCUCCUUGUGGAUCAUCGGUUUGAUGUUUAGUAUUGAAGCUGCGUCUUCUUCAGUAAAAAGCUCAUUAAUCUUCUGAGUGUCCCAUAGACCCGUAUUGGGAAUAAGAAGGUCUGCGACACACAGAGUUAGAUCCACAACGCUGUCCUGCCUAUACAUUGGUGCUCUUGGAAUAGGAUUUUGAAGCCAGUUUUCCGUCCAAACUCUUGUUGAGUUCCCAUUUCCUAUUCUCUUGACCAUGCCUUUAGCUAGUAACUCUCUGCCAUGAAGUAUGCUUCUCAAUGCAUACGAAGGUCACGUACCUUCCCCACAUUCCAUAAAGGAUCCAUUUCUCCAAUACUUACUCUUGAGGACCCUAGCUACCAACGAAUCAGGUCUUUGCAGUAUGCGCCAUGCUUGUUUCGCCAACAACGCCUGGCUGAAACUACUGAUGUCGUGAAAGCCCAUGCCACCUUCUUCUUUAUGUUUACAAAGGCGUUGCCAAGCUACCCAUGCUAUCUUCUUUUUAUUAGAUCCAUUACUCCACCAAAAUGCGACCAUGGCACUGGUGAGUUUAUCACAAAGAUCCUUUGUGAGUUUGAAAACAGACAUGGCAUACACUGGAAGUGCUAACGCAAUCGAUUUUAGCAAAAUUUCCUUGCAACCUUGUGAUAAGGCUUUAAGGAACCAGCCCUGAAAUCUGCCUUGUAGUCUUUCUCGGAUAAAGUUUAACAGCUCCUGUUUGAAGCCAUGGAAGCACUCCGGUAAACCUAGAUACGUUCCAUCUCCACCUUCUUUAUCUAUUUCCAGAAUCCGCUUGAUCUCAGCUUUCCCUUCUGCAGGAACCUUCCCGCCAAAGAUAACAGAGGACUUCAUUUUAUUGAUUUCCUGACCAGACGCGUCGCCGUAUUGCUUUAAGAAUUACAUGAGCGUCAAGCUUUCUUCUGUAUCAGCUCUGCACAUCAGUAAACUAUCGUCGGCAAAUAAGAGAUGGUGAACUGCAGGUCCAUUUUUGUUCAGCUUGAUCCCCUGAAGUUUCCAAUUCUUCUUAGCCAUAUUCAGCACGUGAGCCAAGGCCUCAGCACAUAAGAUGAACAAGAAGGGUGAUAGUGGAUCGCCUUGUCUGAUGCCACACUCUGGUUUAAUGAGUCCAUGUGUCUGGCCAUUCGAUAGAAUCGUGUAUGAGACUGUUGUAACGCAGCUCAUAACCCAUCGUACCCACUUGUGAUCAAAGCCCAUAUUUUCAAGUAAUGUCUCCAAGAAGGACCAUUCAACGCGAUCGUAUGCCUUUGACAUAUCAGUUUUGAUCGCCAUAAACUGUUUGCCUAUCGACUCAUUCGUAUGGAGCCCAUGCACCAUUUCAUGUGCAACAAUGAUGAUGUCGGAGAUGAGGCGUUCUGAUACGAAGGCACUUUGAGUGUCUGAAACCAACUCUGGAAGUAUUGGCUUGAGGCGUUGACACAAAAUCUUAGAGAUGAUUUUGUAUUGAACAGAACAUAAGCUGAUUGGUCGCAUGUCCUUCAUCACUGAGGGAUUUGGUACCUUGGGGAGUAAGCAAAGUUGGGUGUGAUUCCACCCCUCUGGAAUAACAGCAAAACUAAAGAAAUUCUGGAUCUCUUGUUAUGCUUGGGCCAACUAUGUGCCAGAAUUUCUGGUAGAAAGCCCCCGUCAACCCAUCCUCCCCUGGCGCGCUACUUGCUUUGAUAUGGAAGGCCGCUUGUUUAAUCUCCUCCAGCGUUACCGGUCUUGUGAGCUUUUCAUUCAUCGCAGGUGUAACUCUGCUUUCAAAGCCAUCAAAAAGCGCUUCCAUCUCGUACGGAUUUGUACUCAUGAAAAGUUCACGAAAGUACUCCGCUGGUAGGUCCUCUUUUGCUCCUUCCGAGAACAGUUCCUCUCCAAGGUCAUUUUUAAGCAUAAGAAUUUUGUUCCUGAUCUUCCUGCUUUUGACGCAAUUAUGGAAAAAGGACGUGUUCUUAUCUCCUUCUUUUAACCAUUGUUCUCUGCAUUAUAAGUUAUGCAUGUUAUAUGAAAUAUAUUUGAAAAAAACUGAAAAUAUCUUGUUUGAGAAAACCACCAAAGAUACUGAAAUUUAAAAAGAAACAAAAAUGCGAAGUUUCUUUUUUUUUUGAAGAUAAAAAUGUGAAGUUUCACUUGAGACAUUUUCACUUUCAACCUUUUAAAUAAUUAAUUUUAAUCUUUUCUAACUAAAUCGUUUUAGAUAAGUGAAAAAUUAAAUGCUAAAUCGAUUUAACAAUGAGUUUUGUAUAUCUAAAACAAUUUAGUAAAAAAAGAUUAAAAUUAACUAUUUAACAUUUGAAUGCUAAAAUAAAUCAAACUAAAAGUUUAUGAUUUUGUUUGGCUGUGUAAAGACCAGUUCUCGUGCAAAGAAUAACAAGGUGGAUAUGACUUAGCCUGCAGUUCUCACUUCUCAGAAUCCGCCAUCGGUAACGGUUCAUCUUUUGUAUAAUUUAAAAUGUUGUCGAGAAAAGAAAUCAAAAGACCAUUUGAAUUAAAAUUUGGGCUUAAUAUAUCAAUUGAGCCCAUUUAUAAUGGGCGCAAUAUGACCCGGAACAAAAAACCUGACUAUGUCCGGGUCAAGCAAAUCGGAGUCGCCAAAGAGGAAAAAAAGGAGAGGUUUGGGUAGAGAGGGGAUCGCGAGACGAAAAUGGAGGUUCCAGGUUCAUCGAAGAAGAUGAUCGCAACGCAGGAAGAGAUGGUCGCAGCCAAAGUACCCCUCGGAUACAGAGAUCAGUGCGCUCAUCUCCUGAUCCCGCUCAACAAAUGUCGCCAGGCUGAGUUCUUCCUCCCGUGGAAGUGCGAGGACGAGCGCCACGUGUACGAGAAGUGCGAGUACGAGCUCGUCAUGGAGAGGAUGCUCGCGAUGCAGAAGAUCCGCGAGGAAGAAGCCAAGGCUAAACAGGAUAAGAAACAAGGGAACGGUGUUCCUCUGAUCCCUAAGACCGCUAAUGCUUAGCCCCUCCUCGAUUCGAUCUUCCAGGUUUCCGGUUAGUCUCCGGUUCUUUAAUUGGCUGGGUGAUUUGAAUGAGAUUGUUUGGUGUUAGAUUUGAACAUUUGACUAAUAUUGGAUUUGAUGUCAAAAAAAAAAAAAAAAAAAAAAAAAUUGGAUUCAGUUUUGAGGAAAGAAUUUUUUGUAUCAGUCAUGCUUGAGAAAUAUCUGGAAAUGUCUUCUUCUUUGCAUUUGAUUGUUCUUUGUAAGCCAUCUCAAUUUUAGCUUAAAGUACUACUCAGUAGUGAGUGAGCUUGUAAGUUGUUUCUCAGAUCUUGGCUACAGUUACUUUGGUGUUGUUAUUUAUAAAUCCUUAUGACGCUUUGUACACUACACACUUAGCUCUGUUCUUCUGCUUUAAAGAUUCUGCAAGAAGAUAACACUCCUGAAACCUUUAGGUACUUUUUUACUAAAGCCGGAAUAGGGAUUUCGCUUAUUAACAGGACUCAGCUCAAUUUGCUAGACUAUAUGUUCGGUUUGAAAGUCUUAUGCUUGGUCAUUGUUUGAGCUUGUUAAUUGUGUCAUAGAGAUACUAUGGCUACAGUCAUUUCGUGUUACUUGUUGAAUCCUUCACAGAACGCAUUUACCUCUGUCUCAACUCUGAACCUCUUCUACUUUAACGAUUCUGCAAGAAGAUACACUCCUUUAUUUGGUGGAUUAUAUAUAUACAAACAUAUAGCAUAUGUUCAGUAGAUCCAUUCCUCUGAACAUUUAUGUUCUCUAACAUCUAGGUUUACAAACUCUUAUGCUUUGUCAAUGUAUGAACUUGUAAACUGUGUCUUAGAUUUCGUGGCUACCGUCAAUAUGUAAGAAGAAAUGUGAAAUUACAGCACUCACUACAGAUUUAGGUCUGUGUCUGAACAUCUUCUGGUUUAAAGAUUCUGCAAAGAAGAUACACACACUCCUUGAUUUGGUGGAUUUUAUAUACAUAUGUCAGUCAGUGUCACAACAGCUACAUUAAUAUUCUCUUUAUUUAUACUUUCUCACUUGCCAUUGAGUACUACAAUGUUCAUUGUCCUUGCCACUAUGAUUUGACAGUAACGGGUGUUUCUCUGCUCUAUAGACAGACACCCGUACUAAAUGUUUGGUCUAAGAUUCUCUAGCAUGUCAAUGAUUUUGUUUCACCCGACUCUUUUGCUCAUUCUUCUUCUGUGUCCUAAUUCAUACUCUGAAAUAUUUGGACAGGGAAUCUCUGGAACUGUGAAGAAGGUGGGGCUCUGCUUUUCAGUAUUUUCUUCUUGUUGGUGAUGAAAAAUUUGUUGCUACAUUCUCAGAUGUUCAAAGAUUAUAUCUCUUUUCGUUUUUUUUCUUCCUCUUGUUUAACUUUGUGAAACUGUUUCACAGAAAAGAAAAAAAUAAGAUGCAAACACUCAUCUUUUUGUUGGUUUUCUAUCUUUAAUCUUUGAGAGAGAAAAUUGAACAUAUUAUAUACAAUAUAAACAAUUUCAUCGAGUUAAAUUUAUUCAGCCAAUCUAAACUAUUAAAACAGGAGUACAUUUAGUACUUGACCCUGAGUUUUCCUCAAAAAUUACUAUUCUAUGCCAUCACUACUAUAUAAAAGGAGCUAUUUUUGGAGCUUAUAAGGGGUGCCACAUAUGCAAAAAUAUUCUCCACCAAUCAAUCUGCCAUGUUAUUACGGGCUGGGUCACAAAUCAAUUUCAAGUUCCAGCCCAAACUUGCUCCAUUCCGGCCCAACCUCAGAUGCUUCUUAUUAUAUGUGGGACCCACUAUGUACUUAUUAACUUAAGAAAUCGCAUGAGGUUGUUUCUGGGCCAUAAGUUUGAUUUACGAUGGUAAUCCUUAGCCCAUUAAAAAAACGCUCAAGGCAUUGUCCGCUCUGAUCUACGGUUUCCAAAACCAUUUUUCCUUUCGACGAGAUGGUUGUGUCUCCGCCCUCCCCCCUUACUUUAAGAUACGUUAAUGGGUAUUUAUGGCAGUCUUAAUUUUCUACACCCCUUCCAUCUUCCUUAUGAUACCCUUAAUGACUCCCCUGUUUCAAAACAUCAGCCAUAGCCCUCUCUAUAUAAAGUCGAUCCUCGAGACCGGGAUUAAACAUCGCAACUCACAUCCCUGCUUUCGUCAUCCGCAGUGGCUUAUACUACAGACGUGAAAAUGUCUUCCUUUGCUGUUUUUGGUGCUCAAUCAGCCGGUCCCCACGCUACUUUCUACGAUCUCCGCCUUUGUCGGUUGUUGUCAGCCGUCUCUUAUGCUUUUGGGACUCCCGCAAUAUCAAUAAGAAUGGCGAGUUCAUGGGUAGCACCAUACUCUUCCUAGAUGAAAAGAUGAACAGGCAUGUACAUCUACUCUCUUAGAUUAAUGAUUUACCUAGGAGUUUCUUGAUCUAGAGUGUAAAAUUAUAAUUACCAAAAACCCUUAUGUCUGUUUGUGACAUUUGAACGCAGCUGAUGUAACUUUGUCUAGAAUAUAUAUUUAUGCUAAAUCUGCUGCUCAAAGGUAUAGUCAUUUCAAUACGUAUCACUCAUUUGUAACCUAAACUAAAACAUACUUGCUCUUUUCAAGGUAACUAUAUCAAAGAUUCUGAAGCUGUAUAAAAUUUCUUGAUCCUUAUACGUGGUCUAAGUAAAUGAGUAGUAUUAGCACAUAAAUGCAUCUAAUUUGGAUAUAUUGAUCUAUGUAAUGCUAAAUACUUAUUUACAAUGGUAUCAGUAGAAGCUCCGCCAAUGCCAUUUCUCACAAAAAGAAUUCAAUUGAAGGAAAAAUUGAAACAAACCAACAUAACAUUUUAUAAAAUUUUAGUACUCACACAGAAGUUCAAGUAUUGUUAAUCCCACAACGCUUGAACUCAACAUGCGCUACGGUGAAACGGUCACGCGCACUCAAUCACUCCAACUCAUUCUCAAUAAUCAUACAUUUAAGGUUUGCGGUCAUAAAUUCACACGAGCAAGCACCAAGAGAGUCAUAACCGGUACAUGUCAAGUUUUAUAAAUCAAGCUUCGCAUUGCAUCCUGAAUACCACAACUAUUCACUCAAAAAACCUAUGUCCCCGACCCCGCGCUUGCGCGGAAACCGCCCCUAGUUACUAUAAAACUCAUUGAGAUAGUUUCUAAACUCACCCAAAAAAAAUUAUAAUAUUGGUCGAUGCAAAUCUGCAAUAUAGUAUGCCUAAGAGUAAAACACCUACAUUAUAUACCAUAUAGAUGAGAAGCUUCACGUCAACAUCAAUCAAAAACAUAUUAUUUCAAUGUUAUUAUUUAUGUUUCUUACAGUUAAAUAUAACAUUCACAAUUUUUAUUUAAAAUGAAUUUAUUUAUAUAUAUACUAAAAACUUUACCUUAAAUAAAUACCCUAGACUAUAUUUGCGAAGAGAUUUUGCCACAUGUCCUUUGUACAAUCAUUUUUACAAAAAAAAUGAUGACAUGGCUAACAAGAUUGAAGACAUGGCUUAUAGUUAAUAUGACAUGGACAAUCACAUUUAUUACUGAUAUAUAUUUUUGGUACACUUUAUAGAAUAUGACAAUAACUAAUACAUUACAUUUAUUGUUGAUUUAUAUUUUUGUUAAACUUCUUAAAAUAUGGUAAUAAUUCAUAAAUCAUCACUAAAAUAAAUAUAUUGAAAUAUGCAUUAUAAAUUUCGAAAUACAUUAUUUAAUUGUAUUUUUAUAAUUAUACAAUUUUUAUUACUAAUAUUUUCAAAUCAUAUUAUGAUCGUAACAUUAUCAACAACAUGUUUCUCAUAUAAGUUUUGUUCUCAAUUCUCAUGUUCCUUUGUAUGAACAAUCGUAUGGUUCAUCAAAUAUGUAUAAAAUAAUUUAUUUGGUUCUAUACACUUAAUUCGGUUAGUUAAUACCUAAAAUAAUAUAGUGCAUAUCAUUAUAUAUUCACGGUGAAAAUAUUUAAAUUAAUCAAUACUAAUUUUUUUUUCUUUAAUAACAUUCUAAAAAUAUUCCUAUUUCUACUCAAAAAUAAAAAACAAAAACGAUAUCAAUCAAUUAACACAAUUUUAUUAUUAAAUUGACAAAACUUGCAAAUCAAGUAUGGAUAAUCUCUAAAAACAAAUAUACUAUAUAUAAUUAUUAUUUCUUAGUUAACUCAAUAACAUUCCAAAAUAUACUCCUAUUGCUACGGAAUAACCAUAACAAAAACGUUAUGAAGAUGUGUGGGUAAUCUUUAAAAUCGCAUAUAUUCUUUAAAAGGAACGUAUAUUAAAUUACUGAAAACAUAUAUUCUCUUUUGAAUGCAUUCAAAUCAUAUCAUAACUAACUAAAUAUUUUGUUAUAAUUUCUCAUUUACCCUACACUUUCCGAUGCCAACUAUAUACAUCUCAUAUCUAUUGAGUAAAAGGAAAAUCAUUCUAAGCAGAAAAACCUAAACACAUGUUUAAGAUUACAGCUUUUACUCCUCACAAAACUCAGACCUUUUAAAAACUCAUGGCAGGUUCAAGUUAAAUGUUUACGUUCAUGGAAGUAACACACAUCGUUUGGAGGAAGUACCUUCAAGAUUGUUUUAGCCAACCAAUUGGUAUCUUAUGUUUCUAAAAGUUUGUUACAUUCUCUGCACUUUCUUCAUCUAAUAUUUUCUUGCUAUUAUCUAAUAUGAUGCGUGUUUUGAUUGAAGGGUAACAAAAUCUAUGCUACUUGCAAAAGAACUCACAUGUACCGAGUUCAACGAGCUGCAAUGUUUAUAACGAUUUCGAUCUCGCCUAACAAACAAUUUCAAUUUUUACUAUAUUUAAAAAACAAACGAUCUUAAUGUAUCACUUUAUGAAGGUCCUGUUAAUAUUUUGCACAGAAAGAAAUCAGAAUUGGUUUGAGAAUGUAAAACAAUUAGUUUAGUAUUGUAUACUAACCAUCUUAUUGGUCAGAUACGAUCAACUGCAAUAAUCCAUAGAUAAGCAUGAUCUCCUUCCAUUCUGACACAAUUGAUGUUUGCUUUUGUUGUCGGUUUCUUCUUACAUUCUUCUUUUUCUAAGAAAAUAUAUAUCUAUCAGUAAUUCAGACCCUGUCCUGGAAAUAGAUACGGGUAAACUAAACUGAGUUAAAAUCAGUCAGCAUAAUAAACCAAAAGCCGAAGCGUUUUAGUUGAUUCGUUACUAAUCUGAGACAUGCAUGAUUUUUUUUUCGUGUUUAGUUUGCUCAUCAUGUCUAACCUUGAGGUCAAAAGCGAUGGUAUAUAGCAAUAGCUAUCUGAUUAAUUAUACAAUACUAGCCAUAUUUCUAAAGCGUAUAAUAAAUAAGAUCGCGGAGCAAAGGAUCCGGUGAAGAGAAAGAGACAAGAGAAAGAGACAAGACAAAGAAAGAGUUCAAUGUAAAAAAGGAAGUCAGUGGAACGAAACAACCGACGGUAACCUACUUUCUGUUUUUUUUUUCCGAAAAAAACAUUGAAAAAAAAACAUUUUGGGCUUGGCCAUUACAAAUGAAUGAGGUCCACAAUGUUUGACAAUUUUUUUCAUAUAUUGGGCGAAAUUUUAAAAUAUAUUAUAAUAUAACUAAUUUUCAAAGCAAUACCUAAGUUUAUUUAUCUAAUACUAUAAGUUUAUCACAUUUAAUCAUAUACAAACUAUCUAAUUUUACAAUUAUACAUAAAUAUAAACAAUCAAAACAUAUAACAAAUAAUAAUAUUGUUUUAAAUCAUAUAUAAAUUGUCUUAAAAUAAAAUUUGAACUAUAUAUACAAAUUUCAAGUUCAAAUAACCAUCUUUAGAUUUAAUAAAGGACAAUUCUCUCAAAUAGUUUUUUUUAAGUUUUUGUCACAACAAUAGUCUUCAAAAAAUAAAACCUAUUUUAGUCAUUUUCUUCUUUAGAAAACUACUUUUGUGAAAAUAAACCAAAAAAACUAUCUAAGAAAAUUUAUCUUUAAUAAAAUAAAAAGUAUACUUAGAACUUUAAUAUGCUUCGUUUUAGUGUUAUUUUGUCAAAAUAAAAUAAGCAAGGAACUCAAGCUGUUGAAAACAAACAAUCUCAUUAAGAUGACAAAAAAAAUUUCAAUAAGAAAUAAGUUUAUUAGCUAAACAUUAACAAACAAGUUGAGGAAAUUCUAAAAACAUAUAAAUAUGGACAUUCUAAAAUGUUAACCAUACAAAAUUGAACAAUUACCCGCGCGGGCGCGCGGAUCCAAUCCUAGUUAUAUUUAAUAUAGACAAUCGUCUUCAACGAGUUAUAUUUUUUUUUUUUGGUCAACGAUCGAGUUAUACAUUUAUUCAGCCAAUUAUAAACAAUUGCUUUUCUAUAGGUUCCACAUUUUCAUCGAGUUAAAUUUAUUCAGCCAAAAAAUUGCCUUCAACAUUUUUUGUUUGUCAACUAAAUUGUCUUCAACAUGAUAAGCGAAAUCCCCUAUAUUUGACCCUAAAUAUUAACUUUCAUAUAAUAAUCUACAAUUUAACUUAUUUUAUACUAAUGCGUAGAUGGAUGCACAUGUUACUACUUUGUAGCGUAUCUCCGUGAUAUAUGAUGAGAAGGCCAAAAAACAUGGAAUGAGAGAAUAAAAGAGGUUAUGCUUUUUUGAAACAAAAAGAGGUUAUGCUAAGAAAACAUAUUAAACCUAAAUUCCAAUCCCGAAGGAUGAAAAGUCAAGAGUUGUUUGGUCCUACUUCCAAUAAUUAUGCACUCACUACUCUAAACUUUUCACAUAGCCAUGCAUUAAACUUUGCCUUUGUAAUUUAUAUAUUUGACUUUUGUGGCCCAUCCAUUCCUAAAUCACACUUUUAAACUACUAUCUUUCACUUUUGUUCUUCUGUUUACUGUUCUCAAGUGUGAAGGGCUAAUUCUUAUCCCUUCUCUCUAGGUGUUUUAUGGAUUGCACCCUUUUUAUAUUAUUUAUUUAUUGUCUCGGAAUUUGCCUUGUUCUCGCAUGUGCUAUGAGUCUAUGACUGAACUUAAUCAGUGGGUGAUGAGAAUAUUGACCCCCCAAAAAAAUAAAUAUUAACAGGUAUCAAAUCUAUAGUUUGGUGAGAUUUGCACAUCCAAAUAACAAAAAAAAGGAAUUUCAUCGUUUUGGAAUCCAAAUCCAGUUGGGUUACAUUAUCUUUACAUAUAUGUAUAAAGUCUUGGUAUGAUAAACAAACAAACAAAGAGAACUACUGAAUGUUUUGAUUUUGGUAAAGCCAUGAAUCAUGGACCUCUAUAGUCAAUUUACUCGUUCAAUUUCUCUUGGAGCUAUUUGUCAACUGCCACACUCAUUAAAUGUAUUGUUUUCAUUUUUUUUAUCCCACUUUUCCUUAUUUUUUUCUCACUCAAUGAAACUUAUAUCACCACAAUACCUUGAAUUGGUUCUCUUUUAUUGUUUGUGUUGUAAAGUUUGUUAUAUAGUCUAAAGCAAAAGCACGUUAAUUUUAAGAGUGAACUGGCUUUGAACCCAAAAAAAUGGUGAAAUUAGCAAACUACCUAUGAUGGGAUAAAUUUUAGCAAAUUACCUAUGAUUGGAUAAGUUUUGUGUCUAUCAACGAAGGUAUCAUGGUGUGAAAUUUAAAGUAUUGACUUAAUUAGGGCAAAAGUUGUGUAUACAGGAUGCAAUUUCACUUCUUUUUAACUACUUCCGUUUAUAUAUCAGGAAAAACCAUGUCAUAUAACAGUUAAUUUAAGAAAAAAAUGGUGUGAUUGGUGACCAUUUGAGUAACACACUAGAAACAAAUGAAAAAGGAAUGAAGAUGAAUAUAAUUAAAGGAAUGAGCGGGAAUGAUUGUUCAUUCUCAAAACUAAUGAAGAAUAAUUUUGUUUUGUUAUUCUCUACAAAAAAAAAGAAUGAUAAGGAAUAGAAAGAAAAAUUAAUUCCUUAUGAAUAGUGUAUUUUUAUGGGAACCAUAAAGAAUUGCAUGUUCCUUCUCAUUCCCUUGGUCACCAAUAACACCAAGUUCAUCCCUAGGGUGAACUUUUAAAUUCACAUCUCCUUCCAAUCAAAGUGCCACGUAGAUAAUUAAUUAAAAAAAUAUUAAAUUUAUUUAAAGUAACUAAAAAAAAAGAAUAACACCAAUUUUAACGACGAUAACGCCGCUAGCUAAACUUUAAACCCUAAAUCUUAAAUUCUAAACCCUAAACCUUAAAUCGUAAACCCAAACCCAAAAUCCUAUACCCUAAACCCAAAUCCUAGACUCUAAACCCAAAUUGUAUACCCUAAACUCAAACUGUAUACCCUAAACCCAAACCAUAAAUCCUAAACCCAAACCAUAUACCCUAAACCUAAAUCCUAGACCUUGAAACCAAACCUUAUACCCUAAACCUAAAUCCUAGACCCUAAAUCCAAACCUUAUAGUGCCUUGGUUUAGGGUUUGGAUUUUGUGUUUACAGUUUGGGUUUUAAGUCUAAGAUUUGGGUUUAGGGUAUACGGUUUGGGUUUAGGGUCUAGGAUUUGGUUUAGGGUAUAGGAUUUUGAUUUAAGGUUUACGGUUUGGGUUUAGGGUCUAUGAUUUGGGUUUAGAGUAUAUGGUUUGGGUUUAGGGUCUAAGAUUCGGGUUUAUGAUAUAGGGUGUGGGUUUAAUAUUUACUGUUUAGGGUUGAGAAAUUAAGAUUUCGGAUUUACGGUUUAGCAGGCGGCGUCAGCGUUGUUAAAAUUAGCAUUAUUCUUUUUUUUAGUUAUUUUUAAAUAAAUUUAAUAUUUUUUAAUUAGUUAUCUACCUGACAGUUUGAUUAGUCCUGGAAUGAAAGGUGAAUUCUAGGGUGAACCUAAAUUUUGUUCUUAAUUUAAAUAUCAGUUUAGGAAAUAUGAUCCAGAAAUUUUCGUAGUCCUGGAUGUUAAUAGUGUUUUAUAAGGAAUACAACAAGACUACAAAUCUCUCAAGGUUUAGCCUUUUUGAGACUUUGUUAUGUUAGUCCAAUAGUUUGAUCAUUUGGAAUGUCUCUCUUUUGAUUAUUUAUUUCUAACAAUGAUCAUAACCUAGCUUUCUGUAACAUUCUUCUGGUGAAAAUAUAGAUGAUAUACGUAACUUCGGUAUAUUUGAAAAGCUGGUGACUGAAUAUAAUAUUCUAAUUAGCAAUUACCGUCUAAUCAAACAAUAAUCUUUUUUCAACCAUCACUACAAGAAAACACACCGAAUUCCGACGGAGGUUCCGACGGACACCAAGGUCGUCGGACAUUUGUGACGGAAUACUGACAAAUUUCUAACCAAAUCCAAAAAAAUUAAGUCGUCGGAAUUCCGUCGGUCAUUUCAGACGGAAUUCCGACGAAAUAUGGUUCGUCGGAACUUUCCGACGACUUUUCGACGACAUUCCGAUAAAAAAUGUAACCGUUGUAGUCGUCGGAAGUUCGUCGGUAUAUUCCGACGAAUUUCCGACGACAUUCUGAUUAACAGCAAAGUCGUCGGAAGUUCGUCGGAAAAUACCGACGGAAUUCCGACGAACCAUGUGACCGUUGCCGACAAAUAUAUAUGACCGUUGUAUAGCCGUUUGAGAUUGGACAAUACCGACGGAAUUCCGACGGACUGCUUUACAUCCGUCGGAAUUUCGUCGGAAAGUCGUCGGAGGUCCGUAAGCAAUUUCCUAUAAAUACAACCCCUCCUCAUUCAACUCAUUCACACUUCAUUCUCUCUUCAUUCUCUUUAGUCAUAACAAUUCCGUGAAAAUCAUGUCUUCAGAAGUUUAUUAUCGUUCGUGGAUGGAUAAACCUCAUUUGGAUCCGAACACCAAUUUGCUUACGGAAGAAUACGUUCAAGGGAUUGGAGAAUUCAUGAGGCUUGUUCAACAGCAACCGGAUGCAAAAAGUGGUAUGUUAAGAUGUCUCUGCUCUUCUUGCAAUAAUAAUAAGGUUAUAAAAGAAUUUGAUGUUUGGACUCAUUUGUAUAUGAAAGGGUUUUCACGUAAUUAUAAAGUUUGGUACCUUCAUGGGGAAACUGGUUAUGAAUAUGGUAGUACUAGCGAACCUCAGCCUGUUAGUGAACCUCAGCCUGAUAUUAGGUUAGAAGAAUCUAGAACGGAUAUAGAUUAUGGUGUAGGUACUGAGCAGAUGGUACAUGAUCAUUAUAGAGGGGAAGAACCAAACCCCGAGUCUAGGAGAUUUUUUGACAUGUUGGAUGCAGGAAAACAACCUUUGUAUCAAAAUUGUAGAGAUGGUCAUUCAGUCUUAUCAUCUGCAACUAGAUUAAUGGGUAUUAAGACAGACUAUAAUUUGGCUGAGGAAUGUAUGGAUGCGAUUACUGAUUUUGUCAAAGGUAUUCUACCUGAGGAUAACCUUGCACCGGGUUCAUACUACGAGGUUCAGAAACUUGUUGCAGGUCUUCAACUACCGUAUGAAGUGAUAGAUGUAUGUAUUGACAACUGCAUGAUCUACUGGAGAGCGGAUGAGACACGGAAUGUAUGCAAAUUUUGUGGGAAACCUCGUUAUCAGGAGACGAGGGGAAGAGUUCCGAUCCCAUUCAAAAGAAUGUGGUAUUUGCCUUUGAAGGAAAGAUUGAAGAGGUUGUAUCAGUGUGAGCGCACAGGAAAAGCAAUGAGAUGGCAUGCAGAGCAUUCCUCAAAUGGUGAGAUUAGACAUCCUUGAGAUGCAAAGGCUUGGAAACAUUUCCAGUCAACAUAUCCAGAAUUCGCGGAAGAGAGAAGAAAUGUUUAUCUUGGAUUAUCUACUGAUGGUUUCAGCCCAUUUGGAAAGCAUGGAAGGCAGUAUUCUCUAUGGCCAGUUAUUGUGACACCGUACAACUUACGGCCGAGCUUGUGCAUGCGACGAGAGUUUUUGUUUCUCUCAAUUCUCGUCCCCGGGCCAGAUCAUCCUAAAAGAUCACUAGAUGUGUUUCUUCAACCACUAAUAUAUGAGUUGCAACAACUAUGGGCGCAUGGUUUUGAGACAUACGAUGUUUCGCGCAAAGAAAACUUUCAGAUGCGGGCAGUACUUAUGUGGACAAUAAGUGACUUUCCAGCAUAUGGUAUGGUUGGAUUGCGUUGUGUAGUAUUCUAUUGUGAUUGGUUUGACACCACCCCAGAUAGAGGAGUGAAGAUUGAUGCGUUUGGUGUUACAUCAGUUCAUUCGCGGCGGAAACUUCAAUAUUAUGAUCCCUUCAUUCUUGGUUCGCAAGCUGAUCAGGUAUGUCAAUCCUUCCGUUUGCUUUUUCAGCAUUAUUGCCACGUAAUGUUCAUGAAGCAAUUGCAGGUAUAUUAUAUUUUUACAAUUUAAUUUAUUUUUAUAUUUAACAAUUAUGCUUAUAAAAACUUAAUACUUACGAAAUUUAUGUCUUUUAUCUAUGUAGGGAUUAGUGUUUUCUUCCGCGACUUAUGCAGCAGAGUAGUGAUUGAAGAGGGUAUUAAUAAUUUGAAGACAAACGCACCAGUCAGCAUGGGCAACCUUGAGAAGAUAUUUGCUCCAUCAUUCUUUGAUGUAAUGGAACAUCUUGCUAUUCAUCUCGCAAGAGAAUUGGAACUUGGUGGUCCUGUGCAGUACAGAUGGAUGUAUAUUUUUGAGCGUUAUAUGCAUCAUCUGAAGAAGAUGGUCAAAAAUCAAAGCAGGGUGGAAGGAUCUAUAGUGGCACAGGUGAUCAAUGAAGAAACUGCAAUCUUUGCUGAAAAUUAUUUUCCACCAGAAGUGCAUACAAAACACCGAAGACCUGCUCGGCAUGAUGAUAGAGGGGAGAGAGCAACAUAUCAUGUUACUGUCCCAAGCAUGUUCAAGGAAAUAGGACGACUUAGUGGAAAAUUCACGAAGCGAAGACUUACGGACACUGAGCACGCUCAUUUGCAAACAUAUUUGCUCACCAACUGUGAAGAUGUUCUACAAUAUGAGAGGUAAAAAUAUUUAUUCAUUUAUUGUUAGAUUAAUAUUCAAUAAAUUUAUUUCAUAUUGAUAAUAUUUUUGUAUAUAGUGUAUAUAUGGCGGAGUUGCGUAUGACUCACAGGCAUGCAACAGAAGAUGAGCUUCGACAACUUAGAGAUAACGGAUUUUCUGCGUGGCUUCGUAGUUAUGUGAGUCAUAUAUCAUAUUACCCUAUGCAAAUGAUUAAUUUUAAGUUAAUAUAUGUAAACUAAUUAACUUUUCAAUCAUAUAUGUUUUUAAUUUAUAGGUGAAUGAUGGUUUGGCCAGAGGUCUUGUGUUCGAUGAUUGGAUACGCGAAUUUGUGCAGGGACCAAACUAUGUGGUCAAAUCAUAUCCUAAAUUUUGUACGCGAGGAUAUGCAUUCACAAGGAAAGGUCAUUCUAAGACAACAUAUGAUGCUGGUGUUUCAUCUUCUUCUGGUGACGAUGUCUACUACGGCAACAUAAAAGAAAUAUUGGAAAUCCAAUUUCCUGGAAUGGUUGGAUUGCGUUGUGUAGUAUUCUAUUGUGAUUGGUAUGACACCACCCCAGAUAGAGGAGUGAAGAUUGAUGCGUUUGGUGUUACAUCAGUUCAUUCGCGGCGGAAACUUCAAUAUUAUGAUCCCUUCAUUCUUGGUUCGCAAGCUGAUCAGGUAUGUCAAUAUAUUCAUAAUUUUUUACCAAUAUAAUUAAUUAAUGUUAUAUAUUGAACUAAUACUUUGUAUAAUUGAUAUGUAUAGGUGUGCUACAUCAGUUACCCUCGGGUGACGUACAGAGACGAUCCAUGGGUUACUGUAACGCAAAUCAACCCAAGAGGACGAGUGGAUGGAACUUCUGAUGAUGAUGAACCAUUGCAACCAGAGUCUACCAGCAACGCCCAGGCAGUUGAAGAUUUGGAAAAUGUUCAACUCGUUGAGAAUUUGACUGUGUUUGGACAUGAUGCUGUCGUACAUUCAGAGCCGGAAGCCGAGGUUGGGGAGUUUGAUGAAGAUUCAGAAGAUUCUGAUUAGUUUUUUUUUUUUUUUUUUUUAAUGGUCCGUCGGAAAUCCCUCGCAAUAUACCGACGACAUAGCGACGACAACGGGUUUCAUUGAAAAUUGGAAAGGUCGUCGGUAUUUCGUCGGAAAAUACCGACGACAUGUGUUUCUAUAAAGUUUCAAUCAUAAAAAUCUAUAAAUUUAGAUGCCAAAACUAUGAAAAUAACACAUAAUAAGUGUUUAGUAUAGUAUUAGAUCGCAACCGUUCUAAUAUAACAACUCAUUAAAAUAUUUAUGUAUGCAUAUCAUUGUUUUCAUAACAUCUCAUCUUAACAUUAUAUACUUAUACAAUCAUAUUUAUAUAAGCUUACACUACAAAAAAUGUUAUUGUGUAAAAUCAUGUUAUAAAACAUUUUUAUUGUUAAAUCUUUAUGCAAAUACAAUAUAUAUAUUAUCAAAGAUUUGGAUUUUGCAUUUAGAAACUUGAAAUCAACACCCUAAACACUAAGUCGUCGGAAUUCCGUCAGAAUAUACCGACGGAAUGUGUCCGUCGGAAAAUACUGACGGACACGUUCCGUCGGAAUUUCAAUUAGCCCGGGAGAACCAAACCGCUUGAAAAUUUUCGCGAAUUGGCAUUUGGUAUAUUUUAAUUAUACCAACGGAAUACCGACGAACCUGUGUCCGUCGGAAUCCUCGGAUAUAAUAACCCUCCUUCUUCCUUCUUCGUUAUCUCUGCGGACUCUCUCUCUCAAAACAAACACUCUCCGGCGAUUUCUCCAACUCUCCGGCGAUUCCGGCCCUUCUCCACCUCUCUUCACCGACGAAUCCUCUUCUCACCCUCAUAUCUCUUCCCCUAGCCCCAAAUCAUGUAAGAAUCAUCCCAAACCUUCUUUUAUAUCAAUUGUUUAGGGUUUUGGAAGUUAGAUCUCGGAUUUUAGGUUGUUUGAUUGAAAAUUUUAGGAUUGAAUGGAUAGUUUAGGAUAUAUAAGUUAGGAUUGUUGUUUGGAUUGUUGUUUUAGUUUUUUUUGGAACAUUUUUUGAUUUUUAAAAACGUUUUUUGAUUUUUAAAAACGUUUUUUGAUUUUUUAAAACAUUUUUUUUUAUUUUUAAAAACGUUUUUUAAGUUUCCAGUAAUGAAAUAUAUAUAAUAAAACGUUUUUAAAAUUUUUUAAAAAUAUUUAACAACAUUUUUCUAUAUUUAUAAAUUUUUUAUAAUUUUGUAUACAUAUAUAUAUAUGUAAAUCAUGUAUAGUAAAAAUUUUAAAAUUUUAAAAUUUUUUAUAUUUUUUUUUAAGUUUCCACUAAUAAAUAUUUAACAACAUUUUUUUUUUAAAAUAUAAAUAUUUAACAACAUUUUUCUUCAUUUAUAAAUUUUUAACAACAUUUUUCUAUAUUUAUAAAUUUUUUAUAAUUUUGUAUACAUAUAUAUAUAUAUAUAUAUAUAAAAAGGGUUUAAUAGUUUUUUUAAAACGUUUAUAAAAUCUUUUGUAAAUAUAUAAAUGAAAACAUUAAAAAUAGAAAUGAUUUGAAAAUAUGUUUGAUGUAUUAAUUUUUUUUUUUUAGGGCCGAGGAUGAAGCCCGCCCCGCAGCCCGUCUUCGACGUAGUUCGGUGAGCAGUUCCCGUGCAUCGGGAUCGUCUCAUGACUCGGUUCCCGCAUAUAUUCCCGCUCCAGCUCCCUCUGCCCCUCACGCUGCCCCUCACGCUGCUGCUCAACAGGAUCCGGGGGUCAUGCCGGUUCAUCUAUUGGUUCAACAACCAGGUCGAGAGCAUCUCCCGUUUCUCCAACUCAACCCACGACGAGGCCAUAGCACUUGGUUAGUAUUUUUUUUUAUUUGUACCGUUAUAUUUUUUGCUUUAAUUAACUUGCUAACUUGUAUUUUUUUUUAAAGGUUCACCAAGUCGAAAAAUGGCAUUAGCCGGAGCAUCAACCAGAUGAUGUACUCCAUGCUCCGUUUUGGAUAUCCAAAGUGGAGUGUGAUCCCUUCCGACGAACGAGAGUUGUGGUUUCGUCAGUUUGCGGUAUAGUAACCCUUCAUUUUUUUUAAGUUUUUACAUUUUUUUACAUAUAUUUACUUAUUAAAUUGUGUUUGUUUUGUAGCAAGAGUUCAACUGGCACUCCGAUCUUACGGAAACAGUCCGUAAGAAAUUCAACGAAAAGGCCAUGGACUCUUACACAAAGCAGAUAAACGCGUGGAAGACAGUUUGGCAGAAGAACAAGAAGCCACGGUUCAUCAACGGGGCGGUGUGGGAGCAGUUGAUAGCUCAUUGGGAGAAGGAAGACACUGCAGAGACGUCUUCUAGGAACUCCAGGAACCGGAAGAGCGAUCGUGGCGGGAAAGGUAUGUAUGUGCACAACCUCGGCGCUUGCUCCAUGUCUACUAAGGAGGAUGAACUUGUAAGUUUUUUAUUAUUAUUUAUCUUUAUAUUUUUUAAAUAAAUAUUUUAUAUAUUUUUUGGCUAAUAAUGGCGGUUUUUUUAGAUCGAAGCAAAUGACGGUAAUCCCGUUGAUCGUCUCCAACUCAUUAAGGUGGCUCACACUAACAAGACGACGGGUCAAAUUCAGGACCCCGUGAUCAAAGGUGUAGUUGAUUUGGUGGAAGCUGAGAUAGUUUCUCAAUCUCAGCCUCUCUCUGAUGACGGCGACUCCACGGGAGCUUCAACCAACCUGUCUCUAUUGCAAAUAAAUGAGAUGGUUGAAAAGGUAAUUUUUUUUAUUAAUAUAUUUUUUUUAUAAUGUCGAUUACUUACUUGUCCAUAUUUACUUACUUUAAAUAUUUUUGUAGGCGGUUCCUAAAAGGAAAGGAGGCCGUUUAGUUGGGUUGGCCCGUCGUGCUUCUUCGUAUCCGGCAUCUUCUUCGCAAGCUCCGUAUGCCGAUCCCAUGAUUCUCGAGGAGCUACAUGACAAAGAUGAACGGAUUGGGGCAUUGGAGGAGCAGAACACCACUAUCCUUUCGGAGAAUGCCACUAUCCGUUCGGAGAAUGCCACUAUCCUUGCUGAGUUGGCAUCCCAGAAGAAGUUCAACACCGAGAUUAUGCAGAAGCUAGAUCGUUUGAUGUCUUCGAGUUCAUCUUAGUUUAUUUCGGCUUUUUAAAACUUUCGGAAUGUUUUUUUUUUCUAUUUCGGUUUGUAUGAAUUUUAAACUUUAUGAAUGUUUUUUUCCUAUUUCGGUUUUUAUGAAUUUAAAUUUUAUAAUAUUAUUAGUUUUAAAUUUCUGAUUUUUUAAAUUUAUUAAUAUCGAAAAAUAUAUAAAAAUGCAAAAUUUAAUUUUUUUUUAAAAAUGGGUAUAUACCGACGGACAGUGGUCGUCGGAAUAUACCGACGGACAUAUAUCCGUCGGAAUUUACCGACGAACCCCAUUUCCGUCGGAAUAUACCGACGAACGAGGUUCGUCGGUAUAUUCCGACGACCGUUGUCCGUCGGUAAAUUCCGACGCCUAAAGUUCGUCGGAAUACACCGAGGAACACUCUACGUCGGAAUUGUCUGAGAAACGUUCUCCGUCGGUACGUAGUUUUUCCGAUGAACUCUGGUCUCGUGUAUCCGCAUCGUAAUAUCGUCGGAAGUUCGUCAGAAUGACGUUUCUCGGUAUUCGUCAGAAAGUCGUCGGAAGUUCUGACGAAAUUCCGACGAAUUUUUUUUUUCCGACGAAACGAUACCGACGGACGGGUUCGUCGGAAAUUCGUCGGAAUCGGUCUAUUCCGACGAAUUUCCGACGAUUUCCGCCAUCAGAAUCCCCCUGUUUUCUUGUAGUGCAUGGGGCAUUGUUUAAAAUUCUCUUAAAUCGCUUUAGCGAUUUGGUAUAUACGCAGAAUUCCACAUGUUUAUAAUAAUAUAGAGAAUGUAUUGAAUGAGAAGAAAAGGCAGAGCAUAGUAGUCUACGUUAAAGGUCAAUGACACCUCUAGUUGAUUGCGUCUGAUUUAUGUUUUUUUCCUUGAGUAAAGGUCUUAUUUUUGUUUAAAAUAAAAAGACGACGUCUUUGUUAAGUUUUUUUCUAUAAAUAACUUUGUUAAGUUUAUUUAUUAUUUAUCCUCUUAAAUUAAUAUUCUUUUUUUCUUUGCACUUCUACUUCUUUUUUUUUUGUAAAAAUGAAAAGAUAUUAUUACCAAACUUUUAUGUUUUUGACAGAAUUACAGGGAUAACAAGAAACAGAGUAAUGGAAUAAAAAUUAUAAACACAGACUCAAUCCAUCAAUUACAAGGCAGACACAACAAACUGCGACCACUAUUCCGAAGCUCGACUAAAGUCCGCACCAACAUUUUGCCGCAAAAGGUAAAGCCAAGUUCAACCGAGAGUCGAACUCCGGUAAUUUUGGCUUCCCCGGUAAUCCGCUCUUAAAGAUAAUGGUCCAACCGAGAACAACUCGUCGAAGGCUUCAUAACACCCGCCUACUAGAACAGACAUUAACAUAAGAGGCCUAGCACCCGCAACAUCCAAACCGAGCAUUUAUUAGGCCCAGAGACGACAUGUACAAGAUGUUGCUCCGAGCAAAAAGGGCUGCAUUCUCCGUACUCCCUGACCCCGAGCACGACCCGCACAAAAUUGUCACGCACACCACCACAUAAGCUCAAGUGAACUCGUAUGAUGCUGGGAUGUGAGCGAAGACCAAGCGUUAAAGAAAUGGUGGAGAAGACUCGAGAACCGCCACAUGCCCGUAACCGCUGAGAACCGACGGACUGAACUUGGAGCUGAUAGAAUCGUCACAACGGAACCGGGAACCGGAACCGUGAGAAGAAAGUACAAAAGUGAGGAGGCAUUGUUAACUGCCACUGAGGCGGCACAGACAACCACCAUUUAAACAGGUGACAGAGCCUACUCCUUGAUAGCGCGAAACCACCUGUUAGUUGUCUUAUAAAUAACUUGGAAUCUAUAAUACUACGAGAAAUCGUACACGUAAUGUGAGUAACGAGUAACCAACCGUGGGAUAUUAAUAAAGUAUUAUGAUUUUUGUAAAGGAAAUACUACUAGUAUGAAAUCUGUCCCGAAUGGAAUUUAUAAGACAUGCAUGUAGUCGGACGGUGUUGGUAAAAGGAGAGACUGAGAUUAUACAUAUACUGUAUUCUUUAAUAAUUUUUCGAGGGAUGAUUUAUGCUCACUAAAAGUAUUAUCAGAAGUUGAUUUGAAACGAAGGAAGAACUUAUUCGGGACAAGAGAACCUAUAUAAGAUCCAUAAUUUUGUAGUUAAAUAAAAAAUUAUCACAAGUUAAUGGGAUCCCUGGUUAGAAAACUGGAGAAGUGAUUAAUUAUAUAUGGCCUAAAAGCAUUUCUAACUCAUCUCUAUUUUACAGGUUUUUAUUACAAAUAAAAAUAUGAAAGAAAAUUUUGUUGUUACGGAGAAGAAAAUAGAUAUUUUCAGUGGAACCACAAUUUGAUAUUAUCACAUGAAUCAUUUGAUACAUUUGAAAAAUAACGAAUGAUAAAAAAUUUAAUGGAAAAGACACCUCUUAGUCAACACUUUAAAAUUUGCUUCUCUUUAAAAAAUACUGGAGAAAGGCAAAUCUUAAAGAGAAAGAAGAAGAAGAAACCUGAUGAUCCUUUCAUUGAGGCUGUCUCUCCUUGAAUACUCUAAGUCCUAACUUGUCAAAUUGAUGAUUCAUGAAUCAACAGUGACCUAGUUAGUGGUUUAUUGUAGAGUUUUAAAGAUCAAAUUAAUGGAUGUUGAAUCAUUUGGAUUCCGCGGAUGCAACAGAAGUCUUUCAGUUUUACAUGUUGAGAUGGUAGAGUUGUUAUGGAUAAGAAAAUGUUCUAAAAUAAUUUCUGGUUCAUUCAUUUUGAGUUAAUCAUAAGUUAUGUCAAAGAAAAAUCUUUAUCCUUUUCGAUUAAAGUUUAUAGAGUUAUCAUUACAUCUAAAAUCUCUUCUAGGACUUCAGGAGUUUUGAUUUUCAACUAUAUAAAAUCUAACGUUGAUUUUGUUAAUACUUAUGAUUAUUCGAAAAGAUACAAUAUGUAAUGUAAAUAUAUAACUUUUCAUAGAAUAUUUAGAUGUGCCAAAACCGUAGGCAAUAACCUAUAUAGAAACAAAAUGAAUGGGAAAUGAGAGAACACAAAUAAUAAUAGAGAAUUUGGGGGGGAGGGAACGAAGUCAAAACGGUGGUCCAAAAGAUAUUAGGAAGGACCGUUGUAAGUUUCUGAAAUCAGAAAGUUAAACACGAAACCCCAACGAAAAACAAAAAUAGGAACAAUUAUUAAUGCUAUGGUCAAAGCUUAGCAGCAGCUGGCCUAUAUAAAUUUGGGGCAAUAUAUGGUGAAAAAGAGCGAGUAAAAAGUCUGAUGAAGUGUUAGACGAAACUUGUUCAUUGGGGUAAAUCUCAAAUCCCUACAAGGUAAAUAUUAUAGACCCAUGUGUAGACAAGAGAUUAGUAUUGGAUGAUCAAAAGUAGUCAGUUCUUUUUUUGCAUGCAAGUUGUAUAUUAUAGCCUUGUGUAGAUAUCUCUGAUUCUCUGGUACGUUGAUAUGCAUCUCUUUAAACUAUUUAUAUAUUUUAAGAUAAUAAUAAUAAUGGGGUCAAGAGUCAAGGCUGAUGUAACCAAAGCCAAAACAAUUUUCGUAUAAUUACCAUUUUUGUAGAUUAUAUAUGGCUAUGUCCUUGUAGCUACGUCAAAAAACAAAUGUCACCUCGUUUUUCUUAAUUUACAAAUUUAUAAAGUACCAAAUAAAAACACUUAAACAUUCCAGCUGGUUAUUUUUUAUACCUUCGUUAUAUGCUUUUAGCUCUUUUCAGUGUAGUUUUUCUUACGUUUUUUUUUAGAUUUUCUUAAGUUGAAAUAAUAUUUUACAUAAUUUGGUUCAAAUUUUGAUUUGUAAAUAUAAUUAUCCAAAUUGUGUUAAUGUUUUUAUAUAAUGUUCAAAUCAGAUAAUUUCUGAUUAUAUUAAAUUUUACUUAGAAUUUAAUAUUUCAAAAUCUAAACUAUAUAUCAAACAAAAUCCAAAAUCGAAACAUAAAUCAAUUAAAAUUCUAGUUUAAACACAACUACAAAGUCUACAAUGGAAUAUCCGGGAAAUAAAAAUGAAUGAACCUUUUCUAAAAAGGUCUAAUAAUUAGUUUUUGGCAUUUUGCAGAUAUAUAUGUAAAGAGAGGUGUAUAUAUGUAUGUAUGAGUGCAUUAAAAAAGACAAAAAGAAUAGAUGGAAAAAGAGACAGUCAUCUUUUAGAAAAAGCCAAAACCAUUUCAGAAAACAAAAGAGACUUGCUCUUUUAAAUCCAACACAUACCCACAAAUCCUUUCCUACGUUUCUCUGUCUUCUGUUCUUGGUUUCUGUGCUCCAAAUCUAAAAGACGUUUUAGGGUUCUUGAGACUGAUUUGUGAAGGAAUGGGUACGUGUGGUGGAAGAAACGGCAACGACGUUGGCUUUAACGGUCACGGAGGCGGCAGAGUUAGGCCAUACGUACGGUCUCCAGUGCCUCGACUCAGAUGGACGCCGGAGCUCCACCGUUGUUUCCUAAACGCCGUCGAUAUGCUUGGUGGCCAACAUAGUACGUUUCUUUUCUCCUUCAAUAUUUCGACAAAAAUGCAACCUUUUGUUACUUUGUUUUAUUCAAGUUUUUGAAGAAAAGCUUCACACUUUUUGCUACUUCGUUUCACUUAAAUAUAUAUAUUUUAAGUUUUGAAUUUUUGGAUCUUUUUCGAAACAGAUUGGAAUUUUCUCAUUGUUUUGUCAAGUUUUUGAACCAAACCUCACAGUUUUUGCUAAUUUGUUUCAUCCAUAUGUCUUCAAGUUUGGAUUUGUUAGGGAAUUUCUAAUAAGUAUAAACAUUUUUAUCAUCUUGUCAAGUUGUUGAACGAUGCCUUCAUACUUUUGCUACUUUGUUUCAUUCCUAUAUCUAAAGUUUGGAGUUUUUUAUUAUUAUUUUUUUGGAUAUUUCGUCCAAAGUUUGAAAAUUUCUCAUUAUUUUCUGUCAUCAUCCUUCAAGAAUAAUUUUCGUCAAGUUUCUGAACCAUGCUCGCAAGUCACACUUUUGCAAUUAUGUUUCAUGCUCUACAAAAUAUUAAAGUUACUCAUUACCUUUUUCAUGAAUAGUCAACAUAAAGAAUCAUCAUAGUCACCUUUUUAAUCUUUUUGUUCUCGUUGUAUUUAUGUUGGGUUUUAUGAAACAGGAGCCACUCCAAAGCUUAUUCUUAAGAUGAUGGAUGUGAGGGGACUCACCAUUUCACAUGUCAAGAGCCAUCUCCAGGUAAUAGAUUUACCUGACGUUACUUUUGUUCUCUCUUAGCCUUAUAUCUUUUUCCUAGUAUCUUGAAUAUUAAAGUCCCCCUCCCUGUCUCUUCUUUUUUCAUCACAUACAACAGAUGUAUAGAGGUUCUAAACUCACUUUGGGCAAAUCAGGUAUGGAUUUUUUCCCCUUUUUUUUUUAUUUUUCCAUAAAUAUUCUGAAAUUAUAUGAUUUAUAGAAGAACUGGACCGCUGAUUUUAAUCUGAACUGUUAACAUCAAAACUAUAAUAAUGGAUGGAAUUUAAUUGUUUUACAGCAUCUGUUUGUAGUAUGUACUGUUGGUCUAGUGUCAUGAUUCAUAAGACAAUUGUUACAAAUACAUAUAUCUUUCUUUUAAAUUAAAAAAAAUAAAUUAUUUUUAUUGAUCAAGGGAAUAUUCAUUAUAGUCAUAGCUUAAUAUUUCUUUAUAUAUUUUAUUUUCAUUUUUGGGGGCAGAGGAAAGCUCUUUAUCUUCAAUAAGAAGAAGACAAGACACUGAAGAAGAUUAUCUUCAUGACAACUUGUCUUUACCCUCAAGGAAUGAUUGUCUUCUGGGGUAUCACUCGUUUCCUCUUUCUUCACAUUCUUCUCUUAGGUAAAUUUUUACUUAUUUAUAUUUUCUGACAUGUUUUUAAUUUUGUAUCAGUGAAGCUAUCAUAAUAUACCCUUUUGUCUGUAUUUGAAUUGUACUUUUUAAUAUUGUUUACUUUGGUACAGAGGUGGAAGAAGAGAAUAUCAGACUUCACAGUCUGGUGGUGGUGGUGAUGAUGAUGACUUUCUUCACAUCAUAAACAUGGAGAAGACGAGAGAAACGACGCCGUUUCCAUCACAUCAUUGCCACAAGGUAUAUUUUAUCAACUUUUAUGUCAACAUGUAGUAUCAUCUAAUUAGUAAAAUAUACUCUCAUUAUAUGCUUUUGGAUUUAAUUUUGAAGUCUUUACCUUUCUAAAUCUAGGCCGGUUCAAUAAUGUUUCUCCUUCGAUUCUAGAUUGGACAUUAGAGUUUGAUUUGAUGUCUUAACCGGUUUGACUGAAACUGGGUGAAAUUUAAAAACCGAGUCGUGUCCGGUUUAGUUACCUAGUUGUCAUAGGAACUUAUUAUAAGGUUUAUUGAAAUCGGGGUAACACAAUCCGAAUCUUUUCCGGUUUAGAAGCUGAUUUCUUCGUUUGUCUUGUCCUCGAUAGACAACAGAGAAGGAGAAGAACACUGGGCAAGAACAAGAAGGGGAAGAUUUGUCGUUGUCUCUGUCUUUGAACCAUCAUCAAUGGAGAAGCAACGGAUCAUCAGUGAGCGAAACCAGUGAAGCAGUCUCCACUUGUUCUGCACCAUUCGUCUUCAAAGAUUGCUUUGCUUCUUCACCAAAGAUUGAUCUCAACCUUACUCUUUCAGUUUCUCUCCUCAGCAGCUGAAACCAGUAAAUAAAUAUCUGUCUGCUUAGAUUAGUCCCAGUGAAAACAUUCAGAUGAUUUUGUUGUUAAACUCCUAGGAUUUCUUGCUUUUCAGAGAUUUAAAGUUAAUGGAACAAAUCUUGAAAAUAAAAUUUAUAUAAACCUUAAUAUCAAGCUGAGCCUUUAAAAAUACAAAACAAUAAUUAUUUUAACUCAGCAAUAAAACACAGCCAAAACUUAAAUCCUAGUCAAAACAAUAUGCUGGUUUGUUUCAUAUCUGGACGAUUAAAAUUAAAAAGGGAAGAGAAUAGUUAUUUAUACAUAAAAAAGGAUAUCAAUAAAUGAUGUGUAAUUAACUUUCGAGAAAAAGACAAAAAUAGCACUAAAUCAAGUUUAUGUUCCCAAACUAGCACUCAAGGUGAAAAGUCACAAAAAUAGCACUUAAUGUUUUAUCAAAAGUCACAAACUUAGGGUUUAGAGUUAAAGGGUGGGGUUUAGGAUUUAGGGUUUAGGGUUUAGAGUUUAGGGUUUAGGGUUUAGAUUUUAGGGUUUAGGGUUUAGGGUUUAAAGUUUAGAGUUUAGGGUUUAGGGUUUAUGGUUUAGGGUUUAGGGUUUAGAGUUUAGGGUUUAGGGUUGAGAAAUGAGGUUUUGGGGAUAAAAUUUCAAAUUUUGAAAAAUAAAAAAAUUAAAAUUUUCAAAGGAUAAACUUAGAAAUGUGCUAUUUUGGUCAUUUUAGUUUUUGAAUGCUAUUUUUGUGAUAUAAACUUAGAAAUGUGCUAUUUUGGAGAUUUGCCCUUAACUUUUUCUCAGCGUAUUGUUUUGAUUAUAUGAUUUAAAUUUUGGAACUGUGUUUAUUAUUGGGUUAAAUUCAUUAUUAAAGGUUUCAGUUUGAUAUUAACGUUUAUGUAAAUUUUAUUUUCAAGAUUUGUUCCAUAACUUUAAAUCUUUGAUAAACAAGAGAAAAAGUUAUUUAUACAUCAUUUAUUAAUAUCCAUCCAUCCAGUAAUUUCUCUUGGUAAAAUAGUAAAAAAAAAGAAGAAAAAACCCAAAUAAAGUCUUAAAAUUAACUUAAGUUUUUGGCGUCGGUGCCGACGAUGGUCGGUGUAGAUGAAUCUAUCGCACCGUCUUCCCUCGAGGCUCAAGACGAUGACGAAGCUCCACGUUUCGUCCCUCGACGCUAAACGCUCCUCCUCCGUCUCCGCCGUAUCUUCUUUCAUCAUGCCGCCGUGCUCCCGUCCUCUACGCCGAGCCGUCAUAUACAUUGUCGCCAUUUCCAUCUCCAUCUUCGUCCUCUACAGAUCCCUUGAUUCCCUCGACGCCGUCCCCAGCUCCUCCUCGAUUUUCUCUCGCAUUUUCCCGUCAUUCGAUUCCUUCCAGUCUCUGGUGAGCUUCUUCCUCCUCUUCGCUUUCACAUUGUCACCAGAAAUUUUGAAAUUCGACGAAUGUAGAGUACGAUUCUUGAUUUAGGGUUUGAUCGGUUCAUGAACUUGUGCUAAUUGAAUCUAUGAUGUUAGAUGAUUCAAGAAAUGUAGAAACUAAGCUAGCAUUUGAGUUUGAUCUCUUGAUUUGAAGAUGUUAUCUAAACCUAUUCUAUGAUGUUAGGAGCUUGAAGAGCCUAAGCUUGAAGAUGUUCUUCGUAGAGCUGCAACUCGUGACAACACAGUGAUUCUAACGACUUUGAACGAAGCUUGGGCAGCUCCUGGCUCUGUUAUCGACCUCUUCUUCGAGAGUUUUCGAAUCGGUGAAGGAACAAGCAUGCUCUUGAACCACUUGGUGAUCAUUGCUCUGGAUGCUAAAGCUUACUCCCGUUGCCGAGAGCUUCACAAGCACUGCUUCAGUCUCGAAACAGAAGGUGUUGAUUUCUCCGGAAAGGAGGCUUACUUCAUGACUCGCUCUUACUUGAAGAUGAUGUGGAGAAGAAUCGACUUCUUGCGUUCUGUUCUUGAAUUGGGUUACAACUUUGUCUUCACGGUAUAACCAUUUUCUUGAACGAGUAUGAAAGAAUGUGUUUCAGGUUCUUGAAAAUGAUUCGGUUUUCUUUUGCUUCUCCAGGAUGCUGAUGUGAUGUGGUUCAGAAACCCUUUUACGCGGUUUUACAGAUACGCUGACUUCCAGAUUGCUUGUGACCAUUACUUAGGAAGGUCGAAUGAUUUAGAGAAUAGACCCAACGGAGGGUUUAGCUUUGUGAGGUCUAACAACAGAACUAUACUCUUCUACAAGUACUGGUACGCUUCACGGAUCAGGUACUCGGGGUAUCACGACCAGGACGUUCUUAACUUCAUCAAGAGGGAGCCUUUUGUUUUCCGGAUUGGGCUUAGGAUUAGGUUCUUGAACACGGCGUAUUUUGGUGGACUCUGUGAACCAAGCAAAGAUAUGAAUCUGGUUCGUACCAUGCAUGCGAAUUGCUGCUUUGGUAUGGAUAGUAAGCUUCAUGAUCUUAGAAUCAUGCUUCAAGAUUGGAGAGACUUUAUGGCUUUGCCACUUCAUCUUAAACAGGAGUCUGGUUUCUCUUGGAAAGUUCCUCAGAAUUGCAGGUUUUUGAAUUUGAAUCCAUCUUGUUUUAUUUCUACUAGCGAUUGUUUAAGGAAAUCAUGAUUGUUUUUGUUUGUUUGCAGUCUUGAUUCACUUCGGAGAUAUGAUGAGUCUAUGUAUGAAGAAGAGAGCGAGCCACCAGGAGAAUCCCAAGAGUGAAGUGUGUAUGUGUUUACAAAUGUAUAUAGAGAUUUGUUUUCGUUACAUGAAGAAGAAGAAAGAUGGAAGCCAAGUUUUGUAAAAAUCAUCGAUCGUUCUCAAAGAGGAACACAUAAUGCAAAUGUCUUGUUUGUUGUGCCAGAAGAGCCCAUUUUCUCUAGUAAUGAGUACUUGUUCAUUAAUAUUUGCAAUUUCUAACAAAUAUUUUCUAGCCACAUUUAUGUGUUCAAAGUGUAAUCUCGACAUGCAAGAUUUUAAAUUGACGUUUGGUGGACAAACUACAAACUGUUAAUGCCAGAUUGUUUUAUGCAAUUGAAAAACUGGCAAAAAGAAAUAUGAAAUGUAAACAGAGUUAUAAAAUAAGAAGUUUCUCAUAUAAGUGAUCUACUUGAAAUCGUUACAUGAAAAAUGAUUAAGUGGGUACACGUUUAUGUGAUGACAAAUUAUAUGAACUAACAAAUUUACCUCCUUAGUCCAAGAGAAGAAACCACCGUGUGCCGCAACAACCAGGCACGUAGCCUAUAUACCAUAUUUACAUUUCAAGAAUAACUUGUUUUUUUUUUUUAAUUGAAAAAGGGCUUAGAAUAACUUGGCUACGUUCUGAAAAAGAGAGAAUGACUUGGUUCAUGAUUACAUUACUUAAUUAAAAUGAAAUUAUACUUUUUUUUUCUUUUCGAAUUACAUGAUGUUUUCAAUUUUUAAUGUAAAUUUUAAUGAUUUUAUGCUAUAUGACUUCUUAUAUUAUGCAAAUUACUUUUUAUUAGUUUAAUUAUGGUUAGUUAUAUAGUUUAUGAUGUUUCUGUUAAGAAAAUGUAUAAAAUUAAAUGUUUUUAAUAUGUCUGCACAAUUCCAAACCGUUAAAUAAAAAAACGGAGGGAAUAUUUUAUAUUUGAACGUAAAUGUGAAGAAGAAGCAUCGAAAUAAACUAGAAAAAAUGUUAACAAGAUAUCGGCCAUUUGUUUUAAUUAAACCAAUCAUUGGUAUAUUAAAAGAAAGAUUUGUCUAUGAUAGUCCUAGAAGAACUUGUUUCAUUCGCAUAGACAAUUCCGACAACAAUACCAUAUAUGUGAAGGUAAAUAAAAACAUUCCUAGAUUGAAGAUAUCAAACUUCUCUUAAAGAUUUAUUUGACAUUCGUCUGCAGCACUCUUUGUUUCGUGCGAUCUAUACAUCAACAACACUCUUAUACGUACAUUUCAGUUAAACUAUUGUAUCUGUUUGUCAGAAAAAGCUCUUGUAAGUAAACUCUCAAACCCAAGGCAGACUGACUUGAACAAAAAUCAAACUACAGGACACUAUAUGCAUUCGGCUUGAUACGUUAGCGAGUUUAAUUUUGUAGUUCUUUCCGAAUUAAUGUAAUGUUUAGUGCCUUUGCAUAGUUUUUUUUUUUUUUUUUUUUCCUGGGCAGCCACAUUCCCAACUAUCUCCCGGUAGGGGGUCCAGCGCCCCAACGGAAGGGAUGUUAAAUCCGCUGUGGCCGGGACUCGAACUCGUGAUGGCGGGCACCUCAGCCGAGGUUCCUAUACCACCAGACCACGAGGCCCGGUUCCUUUGCAUAGUUAUGUUUCAUAUUAGAACGAUAGGCAAUCUUUUGAGCGUCAGAUACAAGAUUCCCUCCAUUUUAUGUAAUGAUUUAUAAUAUCUCUUUUUUCCCCAUAUAAUAUCUCGAGGUAUGAGUUUAUGUAAUCAGCCAGUUUAUUAACAUUUUAAGGUCUACUAGUUUUUGGUUUAUUGUAAUAUCUGCUCAAUUUGUUGUUGAUAUAAAGAUUCUGACCUUGAAAGAUAAGUCAAUUAAAGAAGAGAACAAACAAAAAGUGAAUUAUUAAGCUCAAACUAACUCAGAGUGAAGAACAAAGCUUAGCAUUAGUCAAUGUUUGUAACGUUCGCGACAGUAUUGUUAUUCAAGAUACCAUCUUCGAAAGGUUUAUAGGCUCUUCAUGACUUACACACGGUCAUAUACUUUCUUAGAUACAUAUGAAAGAUUUAUAGGCUCUCCUUGACUUACACGCGGCACAAUGUUUUCCUUAAUAAUUUAUAAAUUUUACUUAAAAAGAUAUGAAAGACUUAUAGCUUUUCAUUAAUUUACAAGUGGCAAAACAUAUGUUUAGAUAGAUAUGAAAAUUUUAUAGGCUCUCCAUGACUUACACGCGGCAUUAUUUUUUUGGGUUAUUUGUAGUUUAUAACCGUUGUCACUUGUUAGUAAUAAUCACGCAUAAAUCCAAAAUAAAAUUUGACAAAAUACCCAUUUAUUAGUCUGUUUUAAGAAAAUUAUAUAAAAUUACAUAACUUUAAUCUGAAUUAUGUUACUACCCCAAAAUUUUGUUUUCCUUACAUAGGACCCAAAUCAAUCAUUUAACUUCAUCUUUUUCAAAAUUUUAUGUGGUAAAAAAAUUAAUUUUCAUAGAUAUUGAGAUAAAUUAUGGUUUCAAAAAAUCUUAUUUCAACAGCAUAAUAUUGUCAUAGACAUCCAUUGGUGUAAAUUUCGUAUGCAAUUGGAACCAGGGAAUUGGACUAUAUAGAUUUAAAACUAUCAGUUUUGGGUUUUUAGCAAAAGAUUUGACAUCUCAACGUUAAUGUCUAUAUUAAGAAAUUUGACAUCCCAAGAAAAAAAAAAUUGACAUCCAAAUUCGUAUUUAAGCAUUGUAUAUAUUUCCUUUUUGGUAAUAGCGUUGUAUAUAUAAAAGGGUGAUUUUGUUGGUUAAAAAAGUUGAGUUUUAAUUUUUAAAAUAUAAUAAUUGAUUGAAUCAAAAAUAAAAUAAAAAAUAUUUUGUCAUUUUUUUUAAUGUCCUCACAAGUGGGGAUAGAAUGGAAAAUAUUUAAAGAACCUGUUUUUUUUUGUUUAAAGAGAACCUAUUGUUGUUGUUUUCUUAAAGUAAUUUUAAUAUAUGAAAUUAUGAAUGGUAGGUUUUUUUUUGAAAAAGGGCUUAAUUAUGAAUGGUAGUUACAGUAACAACUUUAGUCAAAUUGAAAUUUAGCUAAUAAUAUGAAAACUUUGAAAGUGAUUUAUUAAAGUAAUUAAUGAUUGGCAAAACUGUAUUAACUCUUCUUAAAUUUGCUCAUACCCAUUUAUUACACGCUGUGUGUGUAUACAAUCUAUGUAUAUAUAUAUAUGGCCAUCUAUUCCCUACUUAGAAGCACGCAACUGAUAGCAACGCUUCCAAAUCUUACCUCAAACUCU
rnacentral:lncRNA from 1 species